AACACCCACACACACGCACGCACACAAACACACGCGCACACACAAACACACACACCUCUAGGGGGAGACACUGUCCUCAUAUUUCUCAGAGCAAUUCGAAAUUCAAAAUCCAACCGCCUCGCUCAAUUUCCCGUCCUGCACCGCGGCCGAGCAAAGUCUCAGACAGUUAUAAUUAAAAGUAAAAAAAUAAAUAAAAAUCAGCGAAGCAAUAUAAAUAAUAAGUAACGGCGGAAACGGAUUGCACUGGUCAGAAGACACGUUUUGAUAACGGACAAGUGCCGUCAAAAGUUCGAUUUCCUUUUUUUUUUUUUUGUUUUUUUUUUUUGCGCGUCGACUCCGUGAGGAGCGGAGGAGCUCGGCGCUUGGCGCCACUUUCAAAUUCUCCACUGACGCAGAAUGAGAGCCUGGCUGAAAAUGCAUUUAGACACCACUUUUUACAUUUACCAUUUAUACUGUAAAUAUGGAUUGUACAAUUUCUCUUUCGGACGUUUUCUCUAUGCAAGGUUCUCGGUUAGUGGUUAGGAUAAGUU
rnacentral:lncRNA from 1 species